rnacentral:lncRNA from 1 species
CGCUUCCUGGGUCGAAGGGCAAAGGGGAAGGCGGCCGGCCCGGCCGGGCCCGCCCCGUCCGCUGACUGGCCAAGACCAGGACGCCUGUGGACUCUCGUCUGCGUCCAGGACUCGGACACUCUGUCCGUCUGCCGUCUCAUUGGUUGGUUGAAGACUGUGCCUCCUGAUCAACGCUUGACUCCGCCCAAAGAAGUACCACCCCUCUUCUCCUGCUCAAGGCAACAUUUGCACUCCCCCCUCCCACGGGGGCGGGGUGGGGUACUAAGAGGCACCUGGUGGCCAUGGGGAAGGUCCCCUUUGUAAGUUUCCAUAUUCCUUUCUGUUCACAGGACAGCCGGAAUGACUCUGCAAACCGAGAAAGAUCUAGGGCCAAAUAAAGGCUAAAAUGCAAAAAUUGUCAGGCCUC